rnacentral:rRNA from 1 species
UACGUAGGGCGCAAGCGUUGUCCGGAAUUAUUGGGCGUAAAGAGCUCGUAGGCGGUUUGUCGCGUCUGCUGUGAAAACCUGAAGGCUCAACCUUGGGCUUGCAGUGGGUACGGGCAGACUAGAGGUGGAUGUAAGGGGAGACUGGAAUUCCUGGUGUAGCGGUGAAAUGCGCAGAUAUCAGGAGGAACACCGGUGGCGAAGGCGGGUCUCUGGGCCGUAACUGAACGCUGGAGGAGCGAAAGCCGUGGGGAGCGAACAGGA